rnacentral:rRNA from 1 species
GAGUUUGAUCCUGGCUCAGAUUGAACGCUGGCGGCAGGCCUAACACAUGCAAGUCGAGCGGUAACAGGGGGUGCUUGCACCCCGCUGACGAGCGGCGGACGGGUGAGUAAUGCAUAGGAAUCUGCCCGAUAGUGGGGGAUAACCUGGGGAAACCCAGGCUAAUACCGCAUACGUCCUACGGGAGAAAGGGGGCUCCGGCUCCCGCUAUGGGAUGAGCCUAUGUCGGAUUAGCUAGUUGGUGAGGUAACGGCUCACCAAGGCCACGAUCCGUAGCUGGUCUGAGAGGAUGAUCAGCCACAUCGGGACUGAGACACGGCCCGAACUCCUACGGGAGGCAGCAGUGGGGAAUAUUGGACAAUGGGCGAAAGCCUGAUCCAGCCAUGCCGCGUGUGUGAAGAAGGCCCUCGGGUUGUAAAGCACUUUCAGCGAGGAAGAACGCCUAGCGGUUAAUACCCGCUAGGAAAGACAUCACUCGCAGAAGGAGCACCGGCUAACUCCGUGCCAGCAGCCGCGGUAAUACGGAGGGUGCAAGCGUUAAUCGGAAUUACUGGGCGUAAAGCGCGCGUAGGUGGCUUGAUAAGCCGGUUGUGAAAGCCCCGGGCUCAACCUGGGAACGGCAUCCGGAACUGUCAAGCUAGAGUGCAGGAGAGGAAGGUAGAAUUCCCGGUGUAGCGGUGAAAUGCGUAGAGAUCGGGAGGAAUACCAGUGGCGAAGGCGGCCUUCUGGACUGACACUGACACUGAGGUGCGAAAGCAUGGGUAGCAAACAGGAUUAGAUACCCUGGUAGUCCACGCCGUAAACGAUGUCGACCAGCCGUUGGGUGCCUAGCGCACUUUGUGGCGAAGUUAACGCGAUAAGUCGACCGCCUGGGGAGUACGGCCGCAAGGUUAAAACUCAAAUGAAUUGACGGGGGCCCGCACAAGCGGUGGAGCAUGUGGUUUAAUUCGAUGCA